AUUUAUGUAGUUUAAAUAAAACAUUACACUUUCACUGUAAAAAUAUUAUUAAUAAUCAUAGAUU
rnacentral:tRNA from 1 species